GGGCAAGGCUGAACACCCGCAGCGUGCCGUCGCCAUAGCCCGCCACCACCCGCUGCUGCUCCGCGCGUGCACAGGACGGGGGGCUCCACGCCAGGCACAGGCAGCUCUGGGGACCCCCGCGGGCACAUCACAGCAGAGGCGGAGGAAUCAGUGGGAGGAGCCUCGCGCCUGCACUUCCAUGCAGGGUCCUGACGGCUAAUCCAGACAGUGGGUCAGUGGCUGCCAGGGACCCGGGCAGGACCACCUUGGGACGAUACGAGCGCUGACCCUGCUGGCUGUGCAGUGUUGGGCAGACAGGUGUCCGUGGGGUGAGCGAGGCGGGUGCUGGUGCAGACGCUCCGUCCCGCUCCGCCUUUCGGGACGGCGACUCCAUCUUCAACACUGCCACGGAGCCCACACCCAGCGGGGAACACGGUACAACCCUGACCUCGGCGACUCCAUCUUCAACACCGCCACGGAGCCCACACCCAGCGGGGAACACGGUACAACCCUGACCUCGGCGACUCCAUCUUCAACACCGCCACGGAGCCCACACCCAGCGGGGAACACGGUACAACCCUGACCUCACAUCUGCUCCGCCGCAAGAACAACCCUGCCCACGACAGGCCCAACCUCCACGCACACACACACGCACACACACACACACACAGGACCCACACGCUCGUCCAGAGCCCAACACCCGCUGGCUGGCGGCUCCGACACUGGAAACCUGGUCCCAAAGCCCCGCAGUGACCACCGUCUCCCCCGGGGCCUGUGGCCGGCCAGCCUGCCCAUGCCACGGCCACGGCCACGGCCACGGCCACGGCCACACGGCGACUCCAGGAGGCUAAGCUGGCCCUGAUCAACCCUGCCACAGCUGACCGAUGGGAGCAGAAUGCCACCAGGACUCCCUAGACCCUGACCAGAACUGGACCCAGAUCUGACGUGACUUCGCUUAACUGAAUUAUAAAACUACCUGUUUGUUUUUAUUUUAAAGCCA